ACCCGCUGAACUUAAGCAUAUCAAUAAGCGGAGGAAAAGAAACCAACAGGGAUUGCCUUAGUAACUGCGAGUGAAGCGGCAAAAGCUCAAAUUUGAAAUCUGGUGCCUUCGGCGCCCGAGUUGUAAUUUGGAGAGACAUCUUCGGAGUAGACGCCGUCCUAAGUUCCUUGGAACAGGACGUCACAGAGGGUGAGAAUCCCGUGCCUGGAUGGCUGUUCUACUUCAUGUGAAGUGUCUUCGACGAGUCGAGUUGUUUGGGAAUGCAGCUCAAAAUGGGAGGUAAAUUUCUUCUAAAGCUAAAUAUUGGCGAGAGACCGAUAGCGCACAAGUAGAGUGAUCGAAAGAUGAAAAGCACUUUGAAAAGAGAGUUAAAAAGUACGUGAAAUUGUUGAAAGGGAAGCGCUUGAGACCAGACUCGACAAGUGGUGAUCAGCGGUGCUUCUGUGCCGUGCACUUGCCAUUGGUUGGGCCAGCAUCGGUUUGGACGGCGGGAUAAAGACCUAAGGAAUGUGGCUCCCUCCGGGGAGUGUUAUAGCCUUGAGUGCAAUGCCGCCAGUCUGGACCGAGGACCGCGCUUCGGCUAGGAUGCUGGCGUAAUGGUCUU
rnacentral:rRNA from 1 species